UCAGAAUAGUUUUGUUGCAACAGCUUAAACCAUCCCAGUCCUCUGCACUCUGAUCUUCUGCUAGUCUGGCAUCAUUAACUGCCAGUCUGGAGCUCGGUGACUGUAAACUCCGAGGGGUCAGAGAUCACACCUGUCGGGCACACACGUCAUGCCCAGAACCCGGCCCAGUGCUUGCUACACAAGAAAAAUGACAGGGACUCACUUUCCAAGAAAUUACAGUACGUUCAAUGACUUCCCAUCAAGAGCGAGCACUGUUCCAUGUCCUGCCAUUGGAUGAAGGGGCUAAGACUUGGAUUUUUCCAGAGGACCAUGUGAGGGGCCAUUUCUGGAUGAACGAGGAGCUAAGCACCAUCUUGGGACCAGGACCACUUCCCAAGCCAGUUCUCCUGGGACACCUCUCCGCGGGACCGUCUCUCCCGGGUGGAACGACA